GAGAAAAAUGGAUCUGUGAAAAUAUUUCUGAGCAUGAGUGCGUGUGUGUGUAGUGCACUAGUGAUUUUCCAUCUGAGAGUUGGAAAAACCUAUCUUCUAUGACAUGGGGGCAGAAGAUUAUGGAUCAAGUACCACGCAUAACUAACUAGUGCGAGAUGAUUUAUCUUAUUUAAGCAGCCUGCACUCGGGCCAUCUCCACUGAUAUAUCUGCUGGAUACUAUGGACUAGGUAGACUGGCUGGCUUUGUCAUUGAAUUUGCAACAGGACCGUCACAAAUUGGUUUUCCACACUUAUCCGUCACUGGGCAAUCUGCUUCCAAAGGGUAGCUUAUGCUGUUGGACAGAGCGCGGGUGGUGUUUACACCAGAGGAGACCAUCUGGAAAUGCAAUCAGAGACCUGAGCCUCGGGGGAUUAUUGGACCCAGUCGAGCAUGAAAGGAAGAUCUGUGCCCAGAGCUCUUUGGUUCUGCCAUGACCUUAGCUCCACGCAGCUAUAAUUUUGACCCUUUAAUGUAACUAAUUUGACUACAGUUACUUUUGCAGGCUCCAGCUCAGUCAAUUCUCAUCAAACAGCAGGAACUAUAUUGAAGCAGGUGACAAAAGAGUAAAAAGCAAGUUAUUUCCCAAACUACUACAGUCACUCAUCGUCAAUUAUUGAUCAGAGAAGGUUUUGUAAUGUAAAUUCUACAGGACAAACACAUGUGGUAGAUAAUGCCAUAAAUACACAUCACAGACAAUGUGAUUUUAAAAUGGAAUCAUAUCAAAAAUACCUGCAUGAGUCUUUCAAAAUAUCUGUGAACUCAUACAAACUUCAGACCUUCCUGGCCUUACUAACACUAUGAUAAUAUAUGUGGCAGAAGCACCUUCGCAGGCUCAAAUUAUUCAGUGCCUGAACUAUUGUAUAUUCUUCAGUUUUUAAAAUUAAAUUUCCUGCUGGCCACAGACAGAUCCCUCUGGGACACACCCUCAUUUCUUUAAACCCUGAGGUAAGACUAAUUUUCCUGGCUAGAUCCUAUGAAUAUAAGGCCAGAUCUUUAUUAUGCUAAAUUGUAGACCAGCCUGCACACAGAAAGAUUCCUAUACAGCCUGCCAUGAACACUGUCAAUCUCUUUGGGAAUGGUCACACAAUUCUGUCUAAUGAUGCAAUGAAAGCCAGACUUUCAAAGGCAAACAAUCGAAUAAAGAGAAAGAAGAAGAGAGGUAAAAGAAAAAGUUGAGGCAGAAAUAAUUUAUCUUCUUUUUGAGUAAAAUUUGCCAAGGAAAGCUACCCAAGUGUUGCCAGAGAAAAAUUAUAUUUGUGAUAGCUGACCUUCAAAUAGAUUCUUGAUAUUUAUCAUCUAAAAUUCAAGCUACAGAAACUCAGCCUUUCAUCUCAAGAAUUUUAACCAUGCUGUUGUGUUUAUCUUGUCCAAAUGAGUAUGCAAAAUCUUCCUAUUAUUCACUCAUUAGAAUUCAUUCCAAACUCCACAUUACUUUGUAGAGAAAGAAGGAGAGGAUCACCUCACUAAGGAAAAAAAAAGGCCCAUUUUCUCCCAGUGACUGUGGAACACCAUAUGGAAAGUCUUACUCAAAUGGCCAUUGCUCUUCUAAGACAAAUACCUUGCAUAAUUGUAGCAGUUAGAACUAAGACUGCUCAAAUAUUGGCAGAAACUAUCUGACACUUCUUCACUUACUUUCA
ensembl:lncRNA novel transcript, antisense to NRG1